rnacentral:rRNA from 1 species
CCUACGGGGUGCAGCAGUGGGGAAUAUUGCACAAUGGGCGAAAGCCUGAUGCAGCAACGCCGCGUGAAGGAAGAAGGGUUUCGGCUCGUAAACUUCUAUCAACAGGGACGAAAGAAAUGAUGGUACCUGAAUAAGAAGCCCCGGCUAACUACGUGCCAGCAGCCGCGGUAAGACGUAGGGGGCAAGCGUUAUCCGGAAUUACUGGGUGUAAAGGGUGAGUAGGCGGCAUGGUAAGCCAGAUGUGAACGCCUUGAGCUUAACCUGAGGAUUGCAUUUGAAACUAUCGAGCUAGAGUGCAGGAGGGGAAAGCGGAAUUCCUAGUGUAGCGGUGAAAUGCGUAGAUAUUAGGAGGAACACCAGUGGCGAAGGCGGCUUUCUGGACUGAAACUGACGCUGAGGCACGAAAGCGUGGGGAGCGAACAGGAUUAGAUACCCUAGUAGUC